CUGAUGCCGUCCUAGCCGACUU
rnacentral:siRNA from 1 species